GCGAGCGUGGUUCAGUGGUAAAACAUCUCCUUGCCAA
rnacentral:tRNA from 1 species